rnacentral:rRNA from 1 species
CAGUAGGGAAUCUUCGGCAAUGGACGAAAGUCUGACCGAGCAACGCCGCGUGAGUGAAGAAGGUUUUCGGAUCGUAAAACUCUGUUGGUAGAGAAGAACGUUGGUGAGAGUGGAAAGCUCAUCAAGUGACGGUAACUACCCAGAAAGGGACGGCUAACUACGUGCAAG